rnacentral:rRNA from 1 species
UUUGCUGACGAGUGGCGGACGGGUGAGUAAUGUCUGGGAAACUGCCUGAUGGAGGGGGAUAACUACUGGAAACGGUAGCUAAUACCGCAUAACGUCGCAAGACCAAAGAGGGGGACCUUCGGGCCUCUUGCCAUCGGAUGUGCCCAGAUGGGAUUAGCUAGUAGGUGGGGUAACGGCUCACCUAGGCGACGAUCCCUAGCUGGUCUGAGAGGAUGACCAGCCACACUGGAACUGAGACACGGUCCAGACUCCUACGGGAGGCAGCAGUGGGGAAUAUUGCACAAUGGGCGCAAGCCUGAUGCAGCCAUGCCGCGUGUAUGAAGAAGGCCUUCGGGUUGUAAAGACCUUUUCAGCGGGGAGGAAGGGAGUAAAGUUAAUACCUUUGCUCAUUGACGUUACCCGCAGAAGAAGCACCGGCUAACUCCGUGCCAGCAGCCGCGGUAAUACGGAGGGUGCAAGCGUUAAUCGGAAUUACUGGGCGUAAAGCGCACGCAGGCGGUUUGUUAAGUCAGAUGUGAAAUCCCCGGGCUCAACCUGGGAACUGCAUCUGAUACUGGCAAGCUUGAGUCUCGUAGAGGGGGGUAGAAUUCCAGGUGUAACGGUGAAAUGCGUAGAGAUCUGGAGGAAUACCGGUGGCGAAGGCGGCCCCCUGGACGAAGACUGACGCUCAGGUGCGAAAGCGUGGGGAGCAAACAGGAUUACAUACCCUGGUAGUCCACGCCGUAAACGAUGUCGACUUGAGGUUGUGCCCUUGAGGCGUGGCUUCCGGAGCUAACGCGUUAAGUCAACCGCCUGGGGAG